CGCAGUUGCGUGCGGGAUUCCUGCCAUCCUCAGUGCAGCGGAGCAAAGCUUGUUCCUCUCCCGCUCUGUUGCGCAGGUUGGACAUAUUUGACUUUCUUUUUCCAGGUUGAAUUGACCAAAGCAAUGGUGAUGGAGAAGCCUAGUCCCCUGCUGGUCGGGCGGGAAUUUGUGAGACAGUAUUAUACGCUGCUGAACCAGGCCCCAGACAUGCUACAUAGGAAAUCCAUAGGAAAGUGAUGUCACAAAACUUCACCAACUGCCACACCAAGAUUCGCCAUGUUGAUGCUCAUGCCACUCUGAAUGAUGGUGUGGUGGUCCAGGUGAUGGGGCUUCUCUCUAAUAACAACCAGGCUUUGAGGAGAUUCAUGCAGACGUUUGUCCUUGCUCCUGAGGGCUCUGUUGCAAAUAAGUUCUAUGUUCACAAUGAUAUCUUCAGAUACCAAGAUGAGGUCUUUGGUGGCUUUGUCACUGAGCCUCAGGAGGAAUCUGAGGAAGAAGUAGAGGAACCUGAAGAAAGACAGCAGACGCCUGAGGUGGUUCCUGAUGAUUCUGGAACUUUCUAUGAUCAGACUGUUGUCAGUAAUGACAUGGAAGAACAUUUAGAGGAGCCUGUUGCUGAACCAGAGCCUGAUCCUGAACCAGAACCAGAGCAAGAACCUGUAUCUGAAAUCCAAGAGGAAAAGUCUGAGCCAGUAUUAGAAGAAACUCCUCCUGAGGAUACUCAGAAGAGUUCUUCUCCAGCACCUGCAGACAUAGCUCAAACAGUACAGGAAGACCUGAGGACUUUUUCUUGGGCAUCUGUGACCAGUAAGAACCUUCCACCCAGUGGAGCUGUUCCAGUUACUGGGAUACCACCUCAUGUUGUUAAAGUACCAGCUUCACAGCCUCGUCCGGAGUCUAAGCCUGAAUCUCAGAUUCCACCACAGAGACCUCAGAGGGAUCAAAGAGUUCGAGAACAACGAAUAAAUAUUCCUCCCCAGAGAGGCCCCAGACCAAUUCGUGAGGCUGGUGAGCAAGGUGAUGUCGAACCCCGAAGAAUUGUGAGACACCCUGACAGUCACCAACUCUUCAUUGGCAACCUGCCUCAUGAGGUGGACAAAUCAGAACUUAAAGAUUUCUUUCAAAGCUAUGGGAAUGUGGUGGAGCUACGCAUUAACAGCGGUGGGAAGUUACCCAAUUUUGGUUUUGUUGUGUUUGAUGAUUCUGAGCCUGUUCAGAAGGUCCUUAGCAACAGGCCCAUCAUGUUCAGAGGUGAGGUCCGUCUGAAUGUGGAGAAGAAGACUCGAGCUGCCAGGGAAGGGGACCGUCGAGGCCCUCGAGGUGGGCUGGGUGGUGGAAUGAGAGGCCCUCCCCGCGGAGGCAUGGUGCAGAAACCAGGAUUUGGAGUGGGAAGGGGGAUCGCUCCAAGGCAGUGAAUUGCUCCUCACUGAUCUUCACACAGCAGUUCACACCCUAACUCCUGCAGAAUGGUGAAUUUCUUCAGCCAGCCUUUGGUAUCUUGGAGUAUGAUCCUAGUCUGUUAUAAACUGCUUAAGUUUGUACAAUUUUACUUUCAUUUUGUGUUAAUGGUGUGUGCUCCCUCCCCGUCUCUUCCCUCUCCUGACCUUUAGUCCUUCACUUCCAAUUUUGUGGAAUGAUAUUUUAGGAGUAACGGAUUUUUAAAGAAGAAGAAAAGACUGAAUUUCCUUGCUUACUUUGCAUAUACAGACUGGAUUUUUUUUUUAACAGCCAUUUCCCCAAAGGAAUGUCUCGCUCAUUACUGACAUUUGGUAUGUUUCAUUCAUUGGAAUAUUUCUUACUUAUUUUCUACGUGUUUCAAAAGCCUGUGAGAAAUACAGGAUUUGAUAAACAUUUUGAAGGCGGGAAAAGCCCAAAUUGUUUCUUCCUUGAGAGUCAUGACUACCUUCUGGUGUGGAGAAAUUGCCAUUGGAAAAUUUGACAAUUUUGAUGCUCACUGGUAUGGUUAAAAACUGAAUAAAAGGUGUUAAUAGAGUUUUUUCUUUUGAUAUUUGAUCACAAAACAAUUCUAAAACCUGUUUUUACCAUUAAAAUUUAAAUUGUGAGAUAGGUUUUAAAUGUCUAGACUGCAACUGAUAUGCUUUUCUUGAACUGUUAGAUUUUUUUGAAGUAGAGUUUUUUCAUGUUUAAUUUGUAUUUGUAAAAAAACAAAAAACAAAAAAAUCCCCCAAAUGCAAAUAACAAAAAAACAGAGCAAAACUGUUGUGCCUUCUAUUUAUCUUUGAUUCCAGUCUUGACAAUUGUUUAAAGAAAAAUAAUAAAAACAAUCUAGAUUUGUGUUAUCAGAUUCAGAGUAUGUGGGGAAUUGUAGAAUCCCUGUUUCAUCACCUUGUAUGUCUUCUGUUAAUAUUUGUUAUGCCUUAUUCUAAGAUUGAGUCUCAAACUGGAAUGCCUUUGAAGACAGAUGCUUCUAUAGAGGUCCUUUGACCUAAAUAGUUCAACAUUUGUAUUUUUAUUUUGGUAUCUAAGCAGAUUCCUAAUCAUAGCCCAUAAGAAGGAAUGUGACAUUAAUAUUGGACUUUGCUGAUGUGCUCAAGUGUCUGCAAUUUUCUUUCUUUAAAUCAUAGCCACAUGGUAAAUUUUCUAUUUUGUUAUGGUUCUCUUUUUUUUUCUGAAGGGCAUGCAGUGGGUGCUUCUUGGAAAUGGCCAAUUUUUAUUAAAAUAUUUCUGGAAGAAAA